AAGAUAGCCCAAGAAAGAGGGCAAUAACCAGAUAUAGCCUGGUGGUUCAGGC
rnacentral:misc_RNA from 1 species